GGGCAACGCCAGCUUCCUCGGAAGAAAUGAAGAGGCUGCAACUUUGCAAAUUCUUGCACAAGGGUGAGGCCGUUGCAGGAACUUACUUUUCUGGAAGCAAUGUUCUGUUGCAUGACAUCACGAGAAAGUUCAUGACAUUCAUACUUCUGGCCCCUCCGUGGAUAACAAUUUGUACAUCUUUCAUUUCUAACCGUACCCUGAGAGAUCAUUUCUCUAACGAAACGAAUGUUCGGCAGUGGAAUGCCGUACCUAGCACUGAAUUAUAACUUUGGGCGAGUGAGAUUAGCGGUCAAGAUAGUAAAACAAUCUUCGGCGAUCAUCCUACAGCUUCUGGGUCACACCACUGCCGUCUCCAGACUUCUCGAGGACACAACUUAUAUCUUGUUUUUUUAUCUAAUCUCAUCCAACUGGCACGAAGUGCGUCCUCCAAAGUUUCAGCGAACAAAUGCCUUUGUUGUUCAUUUGCAUCCUGAACGAAAUUGUGAGGAAGUUAAUUUGCAUCUCUAAGGCUAAUUUAUCUGUGACUUGCAAACCUGCUUAUUUCAGGGGCAAGUCAAGCAUCCUUGGCUUGUCUGCUUUCAAUGCCUCUCCCGGGCGUUACAGUGUGUUGUGUAAUACAUGCCCAGUGAGUUUUAUCAGGAAUGCCGCACGCGGUUCAUAAAGCUGCCCUCGUACGGCGAGAUUCAGAGGAGGUCAUAUGCAGGAGUGACGAAGUCCACGGAGAGGAUCCUGCUUGAGAAUUGAUUGAAAAACAAAAAUAAACAUCUAAUGGGCGCUAAAAGUCUAAUGAAGCCGUUUAUUUUAUUCAUCUCUAUGUUUGUUUUGAACUUGAGACCUUUCUGUUACAGAGGCGAGGGUGUGGGUUCUUGACCCCAGAAUGAAUUUGUUUAAGAUUCUUUUCCUCCCCAUUGGUGCCUGCACAGUGUUGAAGAAGCCACUCACCUGGACAUCGUUUGUUUACUGUCCUAAAACUAUAAAAAUAAUAAUUUAUUCACAGGCUAUUUUGACAGGAUGAAAUGGAAUAUAACGUUGAUUGUCUAAGGGAUAGAGUAGACGUUAACCAAAGUAUCUUCUUUUCUGGAUGCUCUUUUUAAUAUUAAUACAGAGAGAUUUUUAUUGACUAUCCUUGUUAAGAAAUGUUUGGUUGGAAGCCUCAGUUACACUUGGUACUCGUCUGUUUCCCCAGUUGGAUCCCAGGUCAACUGGGACAUUAUUCCUCUUCAUCUUUCCAUCCCCAGCAUGGAUCUCAACGUCUGACGUGCGACAGUCUUUCAACAAACGACAGUGAUUUCCUCAGCAAGCCUUCACUGUACUUUCGUUGAGAGGGUCAUAGAUUGUAGAGAUUAUUUCAACGUAUUAGCAGACAGUUCUUCCCACAUCUCAGUUUGAGGACGUCAUAGGAUCUUAAUCCAAGGGAGCCGCUGGAAAGCAUCCAUGUUCAAAUUAAUAGGCUGCAUCAAGAGCAGGAGGAACAAAAAGUUGACUUGGGUGACUCAAUACUCAGAAACAAAGUUUCCGCUAAGAAGCUCAGUUUUAUUCAGUCUGGCGAGUGACGAAGGAAGAACAGGCUGCUUUGGACCUCCUGAGAGAUGGACGUAGGUCUCCACCGUGACAUGAAAAUGUGGCCUCAGCAAAACCACCACCGAGGCCAGCAAGAUACUCUUGUAAUUAGUUAAACAAGAAGUCCAUCAGGAUGAGGUGACUCUCAUUGAUAACCUAAAGAGCAAGCCCAACCCUGAGUCAGAGUUGAUUCCUGCAAAUGCACCCAAAUUUGAGAAAACAAACAGCCGUUCAUAAACAGCCAACCAGCCUUUCCCAAAUAAGGCAUCCGCUUAUGCCAUCGCCUAUCGAAUAAUCUCCUUGCUUUGCUGCUGCAUCUGCCCUAUAAAACGUUUCCCCUGGCCUGUCCGCCCCCCGGAACCACGUUAGGUGUGGCGCUGCCCAUUUGGAACCCC
ensembl:lncRNA